CGGAGAGGGAGCCUGAGAAAUGGCUACCACAUCCAAGGAUGGCAGCAGGCGCGCAAAUUACCCACUCCCAGCUUGGGGAGGUAGUGACGAAAAAUAACAAUGCGGGACUCUAAGAGGCCCCGUAAUUGGAAUGAGUACACCUUAAAUCGUUUAACGAGUAUCAAUUGGAGGGCAAGUCUGGUGCCAGCAGCCGCGGUAAUUCCAGCUCCAAUAGCGUAUAUUAAAGUUGCUGCAGUUAAAAAGCUCGUAGUUGGAUCUGGGGCUUGAGGUCGCUGUCUAUCGUUUCGGCGAUGACGGUGAUGCUCAGCUCUGCUUGCCGGUGACUGUUGCGGUGUUCUUCACUGAGCGCUGUAGCAGCACGGCACGUUUACUUUGAAAAAAUUAGAGUGCUCAAAGCGUGCUUGUCGCUUGAAUAAUGUUGCAUGGAAUAAUGGAAUAGGACCUCGGUUCUAUUUUGUUGGUUUUCGGAGCUUGAGGUAAUGAUUAAGAGGGACGAACGGGGGCAUUCGUAUUGCGGUGUUAGAGGUGAAAUUCUUGGAUCGCCGCAAGACGGACUACUGCGAAAGCAUUUGCCAAGAACGCUUUCAUUAAUUAAGAACGAAAGUCAGAGGUUCGAAGACGGUCAGACACCGUCCUAGUUCUGACCAUAAACGAUGCCGACCAGCGAUCCGUAGUGGUUGCUUUAUGGACCCUACGGGCAGCCUCCGGGAAACCAAAGUAUUUGGGUUCCGGGGGAAGUAUGGUUGCAAAGCUGAAACUUAAAGGAAUUGACGGAAGGGCACACCAGGAGUGGAGUCUGCGGCUUAAUUUGACACAACACGGGAAAACUCACCCGGUCCGGACACCGUAAGGAUUGACAGACUGAUAGCUCUUUCUUGAUUCGGUGGAUGGUGGUGCAUGGCCGUUCUUAGUUGGUGGAGUGAUUUGUCUGGUUAAUUCCGAUAACGAACGAGACUCUAGCCUGCUAAGUAGUGUUGCUAUUGUUAUAUGGUUGACACUUCUUAGAGGGACAAGUGGCAUUUAGCCACGCGAAAUUGAGCAAUAACAGGUCUGUGAUGCCCUUAGAUGUCCGGGGCCGCACGCGCGCUACACUGGAGAAGUCAGCGUGUGUUAUCCAAGUCCGAAAGGACUGGGUAAUCCGUUGAACCUUCUUCGUGCUUGGGACUGUGGCUUGGAACUAUUCCACAUGAACGAGGAAUUCCUAGUAAUUGCAAGUCAUAAGCUUGCGUUGAUUACGUCCCUGCCCUUUGUACACACCGCCCGUCGCUACUACCGAUUGAAUGGUUUAGCAAGGUCCUCGGAUCGUGGCCGUAGGGGCACGCAAGUGUUUCUGCGGUUUGCGAGAAGACGACCAAACUUGAUCAUUUAGAGGAAGUAAAAGUCGUAACAAGGUU
rnacentral:rRNA from 1 species